UACGGGGGGAGCAAGCGUUGUUCGGAUUUACUGGGCGUAAAGGGCGCGUAGGCGGCCACCGCAAGUCGAUUGUGAAAUCUCCGGGCUUAACCCGGAAAGGUCAACCGAUACUGCGGGGCUAGAGUGCAGAAGGGGCAACUGGAAUUCUCGGUGUAGCGGUGAAAUGCGUAGAUAUCGAGAGGAACACCUGCGGCGAAGGCGGCUGCCUGGACCGGCCCUGACGCUGAGGCGCGAAAGCUAGGGAGCAACAGG
rnacentral:rRNA from 1 species